CCUACGGGAGGCAGCAGUGAGGAAUAUUGGUCAAUGGACGAGAGUCUGAACCAGCCAAGUAGCGUGAAGGAUGACUGCCCUAUGGGUUGUAAACUUCUUUUAUAUGGGAAUAAAAUGUUCCACGUGUGGGAUUUUGUAUGUACCAUAUGAAUAAGGAUCGGCUAACUCCGUGCCAGCAGCCGCGGUAAUACGGAGGAUCCGAGCGUUAUCCGGAUUUAUUGGGUUUAAAGGGAGCGUAGGUUGAUUGUUAAGUCAGUUGUGAAAGUUUGCGGCUCAACCGUAAAAUUGCAGUUGAAACUGGCAGUCUUGAGUACAGUAGAGGUGGGCGGAAUUCGUGGUGUAGCGGUGAAAUGCUUAGAUAUCACGAAGAACUCCGAUUGCGAAGGCAGUUCACUGGACUGCAACUGACACUGAGGCUCGAAAGUGUGGGUAUCAAACAGGAUUAGAUACCCCUGUAGUC
rnacentral:rRNA from 1 species